UACGAAGGGGGCUAGCGUUACUCGGAUUGACUGGGCGUAAAGGGCGCGUAGGCGGCUUGUACAGUCAGACGUGAAAUUCCUGGGCUCAACCUGGGGGCUGCGUUUGAUACGUGCGGGCUUGAGUUCGGAAGAGGGUCGUGGAAUUCCCAGUGUAGAGGUGAAAUUCGUAGAUAUUGGGAAGAACACCGAUGGCGAAGGCAAUCCCCUGGGCCUGUACUGACGCUCAUGCACGAAAGCGUGGGGAGCAAACAGG
rnacentral:rRNA from 1 species